CCCAAAGGUUGCUUUUUUUUUUUUUAGAUUGUUUCACAAUCUUUAUUUUCAAUUAACUGAAUUCAAACUGUCUGCCUGAUCAUGUUAGGAACUGCAUAAACUCUCUAAAGACUUCCAUCUUCUCAAAGUGAAAGCCAAAGUUAGUUCCUACUGUCAUUGACAUAAUAGGAUACUCCCAGUUGAGUUUCAUGCUGGUCCUGGGUCAGGUCAUGGAGCAGAAUUAUCCCAGUUCCCCACACAUAGGGGUCAGCAUAGAGCAACCAGCUUUCCCAGAGCACUGAUCUCCCUGCCCCUUGAGUUCUCUGAGGUUCUCUUCCUGCAACCACUCAGACAUGUGCACCGCCUCCCUCAUGAACCUUGCUGGCCUCAGGCACCUUGGCCACUCUGCUCUGGCCUCUUUACUUGUUCUCCUUCCUUCUCCAUUUCAGGAACUUUAAUUUCUUUUCCUCUGCAUAGGAGUAUAGCUACAGGCUUCAGACAUGUGCUCUGAAGGGAAGACUCUGCAUCUCGCUGACGCAUCUCCAGGGAAUGGAGAGACAAGGGCCAAGGAUUAGGACUCAAGAGCAUCAGCAGUGGAUGGGCCAAAG
rnacentral:lncRNA from 1 species